GGUCAAGCUACGAAGGGCGCGCGGUGGAUGCCUAGGCGUCAGGAGGCGAUGAAGGACGUGGACAGCUGCGAAAAGCUUCGGGGAGCCGCUAACAGGCGUUGAUCCGGAGAUCUCCGAAUCGGGAAACCGGACUGGGCAAACCCCAGUCGGCCUCGUGCUGAAUUCAUAGGCACGGGGUAGCCAACCCGGGGAACUGAAACAUCUAAGUACCCGGCGGAAAAGACAUCAACAGAGAUUCCCCCAGUAGUGGCGAGCGAACGGGGAACAGCCUAAACCAAACCAGUGUAAGCACAGGGCGUUGCUGGGUUGGGGUCGUGGGACGUCUCAUGCGGUCCUGUAAGCCGCGAGGGAGUUACAAAGUCGGGCGGUAGCAGAACGGUCUGGAAAGGCCGGCCAUAGCGGGUGACAGCCCCGUACGCGAAACCGAACCGAUCUCCCGAGAAUGUUCCCGAGUACUGCGGGGCACGUGAAACCCCGUGGGAAUCUGGGAGGACCAUCUUCCAAGGCUAAAUACUACCUGACGACCGAUAGUGAACAAGUACCGUGAGGGAAAGGUGAAAAGCACCCCGGUGAGGGGAGUGAAAUAGUACCUGAAACCGCGCGUCUACAAGCAGUUGAAGCACUAUGCCCGCAAGGGAAUGUGCGACAGCGUACCUUUUGCAUAAUGGGCCUGCGAGUUAUGGUAUGUCGCGAGGUUAAGCCGAUAGGUGGAGCCGUAGGGAAACCGAGUUCUCACAGAGCGAUUGAGUGGCAUGCCAUAGACCCGAAACCGAGCGAUCUACCCUUGGCCAGGUUGAAGCGCGGGUAAUACCGCGUGGAGGACCGAACCCACUAGAGUUGAAAAUCUAGGGGAUGAGCUGAGGGUCGGAGUGAAAGGCUAAUCAAGCUCGGAGAUAGCUGGUUCUCCACGAAAUAUAUUUAGGUAUAGCCUCGAGUGAAUUGCGCCGGAGGUAGAGCACUGGAUGGGCUAGGGGUCCUACCAGAUUACCAAACCCAACCAAACUCCGAAUGCUGGCGACAACUACUCGGGAGUCAGGCUGCGGGUGAUAAGGUCCGUAGCCGAGAGGGAAAGAGCCCAGAUCGACAGCUAAGGUCCCCAAAUCCAUGCUAAGUGGCAAAGGAUGUGGGAACGCUCAGACAGCCAGGAGGUUGGCUUAGAAGCAGCCAUCCUUUAAAGAAAGCGUAAUAGCUCACUGGUCAAGCGAGCCCGCGCCGAAAAUAUAACGGGGCUCAAGCAUGGUACCGAAGCUUCGGGUUCUUCGUAAGAAGAGCGGUAGUGGAGUAUUCUCAGGUAGAUACACGGUGUACCGUAAGGAGCGCUAUAGGACCUGAGAAGAGCUUAUGCAGGCAUGAGUAGCGAUAAACAGGAUGAGAAAUCCUGUCGCCGUAAGCCCAAGGUUUCCUGGGGAAGGAUCAUCCUCCCAUGGGUUAGUCGGAGCCUAAGCCGAGGCCGAAAGGCGUAGGUGAUGGUAAGCAGGUUAAUAUUCCUGCACCGCCGAGGACAGCGGUGAAGCGAGCAGGGACGAAGAAGGGUAGGCCGAGCCGGGCGUUUGGUUUCCGGUUCAAGCCCGUAGGCGGAUCUCGUAGGAGUCGAUAGACACAAACGCGAGGUCAACGCCGAGAGGUGAUGAGGCCAGUCUCCGGACUGGAAACUCGGUGAUCCCAUGCUUCCGAGAAAAGCUGCGCGCAGAGCUCCCUCGGUGUCCGUACCGCAAACCAACUCAGGUGGGCGGGGUGAAUAUCCCAAGGCGCGUGAGAGAACACUGGCUAAGGAACUCGGCAAAAUUACACCGUAACUUCGGGAGAAGGUGUGCCCGGCGGGGUGACGGACUUCGCGUCCCGAGCUCUGUUGGGUUGCAGUGAAACGGGGGUUGCGACUGUUUACUAAAAACACAGGACUCUGCGAAAUCGCAAGAUGACGUAUAGGGUCUGACGCCUGCCCGGUGCCGGAAGGUUAAGGGGAGGUGUUAGUCUUCGGACGAAGCACCGAACC
rnacentral:rRNA from 1 species